GUGUGUCAGUGGCAGGCUCAGAGGUUGGGUGUGUUGGGCACCUCGUCUCCCCUCCCAACCAUGACUGGACGUUCAUAAACUUGAUCACAAACCCCGUGUUGAUAUCUCCCGCAGUGUGAGUGAUGGAACUGUGUUAAAUACUGACCACCGGAAGUGUAUCAGUACACUGUAUUACGCUGCCAGUGUAACUUAAGUACUACUGUAUGUCUUAUAACGUGUGUUAAUAAUAAUGGAAAAAUAUUAAGUGAUAAAAUACAGUUUCUUAUACUGAGAGUGAUUGAAAAGAAUGUUAAAAUGUGUUAACAGGUGUGUGUAUUAUAACUGCAGUUAAUUAGUAAACAAACAGUAAUAAUACAGUCGGUGUGUGUGUGUGGCUCAAGCCGUGCCAUAUAGAAUCAGUGUCAUUGCCAAGUGAGGCGGCAGGAGCGGUCACCACGGCACUGAGUGGAGGUCACGGGUCAAGUUAGGCACCAGCCGUCUCCCCGUGUCCUGGCAAGAGAGUCGUGACACGUUAUGACGGCUCUGUCACUGCGCUGCCUCAGUUGGAGAACAUCGGGUCGUCCCUGGCCUACUUGUCGGGCGUCGGGGUGGCCCUGGACGGUCUCACGGCCAAGGACAUUAAAGACGGUAACCUCAAGGCCAUCCUCUCCCUCUUCUUUGCUCUCUCCAGAUAUAAACAACAGCAGAAGCAAGCACAGCAAGAGAGGAAAGAACUUGAGAAAUUAAGAGAGAAGAAACAAGAGAGCGAGAUGGUGACGACUGCUGCGUCAAAGUAAGUACCCCUGUGAUGUUUGUUUUGUCUUCCUUUACAACAU